AGGUCUGAUGUGAUUUAACCAGAAAGACCCUAAUUACUGUUUGGAAACAGGAUGGCGAAAGAUGCUGCAAAACUGAGCCUUCGACGAUUGGAACCAGCGAUCCAGAAAUUUGUUAAAGUUGCAAUCCCAACUGAUUUGGAACGGCUCCAAAAGCACCAGAUAAAUAUUGAGAAGUAUCAGCGAUGGAGUCAAUGGGACAAGCUGCAUCAGGAGCACAUCAAUGCAAGCCGUACUGUGCAGAUCUGAAACACGCUGAAUGUUGGCCCACUUCUAGAGCUAGACCCCGUCCGCCAUGGUCUUUAAAAAAUCGAAAGAACUGCAGAUGCUGUAAAUCAGAAACAAAAACAAAAGUUGCUGGAAAAGCUCAGCAGGUCUGGUGGCAUCUUUGAAGAAAAAUCAGAGUUAACGUUUUGGUUUCCAGUGAGGAACGGUCACUGGACCUUCUGUUUUUAUGGUCCCAUGGUCUUUGCCAGGUAGAUGUGGGAGAGUUAGUUAUAGUUUUUGAUAUAACAGUGCAGGCAGUUUCUCUGUGGCCCUUGUCUUGCAUCCUUUUAUAAAUUAAAAGAUAAAAUGCUGGAAAUAUUCAGCUGGUUAGGUAGCAGCUGUGAAGUAGAAGCAGAAUUAACAUUUUUAGGUCUAAGGGGUGGCAUGGUGGCUCAGUGGUUAGCACCGCUGCCUCAGCGCCAGAGGCCCGGGUUCGAUUCUAGCCUCGGGCAACUGUCUGUGUGGAGUUCGCACAUUCUCCCCAUCUGUGUGGGUUUCCUCCGGUUUCCUCCCACAGUCCAAAGAUGUGCAGGCUAGGUGGAUUGGCCAUGCUAAAUUGCCCGUAGAGUUCAGGGAUGUGUCUGGGUUGGGUGCUCUGAGGGUGGGUGUGGACUUGUUGGGCCGAAGGGCCUGCCUUCACACUGUGGGGAUUAUAAGGACCUAUCAUUUUGCACCAAUUCAACCUUUAAAUACUGUAUAGUACUUCAGAAUUAACCAAUAUUAACCAAUUACCAACUUUGAUUUUAUUUAUCAACAGCCGUCGACCUUCAAUGUAGUGUGCUCCAAUGAAGUCUGUAUUAUAGGAACUGUCUUUUAAAGCUCUUCCUAUUCUGCUGAAGUCUUAGAAUUGUUCCAGUUAUAGUCAACUUCCUGAUAAAUUAAUGGUCAAUAUUUGAAUAGUCGAGCUUCCACAUAAACAGUAUGCAAUUUUUAAGUAAAAGAAAAAGAAUCUAUGUUAAAAUAAAAACAACAAUCGGGAGCCAACAAAGAUUAAUCACCGAAGAGCCAGCAUUGCUUUUACGUAAUAGGUUUUUAAACUGAGACAACCUCCCCUCAUCAAAAACUAGAAUAUCCAAGCUGCCUUACAAGGUCAUCAAAUUUCUGCAUGAGUGAAAGUUUUCUUUAUGUUGACAUUAACAUAUCUUACCAUUGCUAUUUGCUAAUAACAUUGUAUUUCAGAACUUAGAACAAGUGUCCUCAGGGCUGUUACAAUAUUUGCAAUGACUUCCAGGACUAGAAUUAUUUGCAGGGAUUUCUAGGAAAAAUGUGUGUUGAUAUUUGCAGUACUGGCCCUCACACAGAAAAGGUAUAAAACACUGAUUUACCUUUUUUUAUAUGUAGUCUGAACCAGUAACCAUGUAGUGGGUGUAGAAUGUAGUAGAUGUUUUGAGCUGGUUUAUUCUUCUGUAGUAAAAACCAAAAGAACUGCGGAUGCUGUAAAUCAAGAACAAAAACAAAGUUGCUGGAAAAGCUCAGCAGGUCUGGCAGCAUCUGUGGAGGAGCAGUUCUGAGGAAGGGUCACUGGACCCGAAACGUUAACUCUGUUUUCUCCUUCACAGAUGCUGCCAGACCUGCUGAGCUUUUCCAGCAUCUUUGUUUUUAUUCUUCUGUAGUGUUUGUACAAUAACAGUAAUGUUAUAAUAACUACUAUGUGUUUAUACAGUACACUGGCAGUGAUACCAGAGUAAAAUGAUACUUUUAUUGCGAAAA